ensembl:processed_transcript
UGUUUUUUCAGAGAUGGUGUGUCUGACUGAGAGCAAAGGAGCCAUACCAGGUAUAUGUCUUAGUAAUGCUUUUUGUAGUAUAAGGUUGAAUAUAUAAUACUUAGACCUAGUGAAUUCCUGCUCACCCUGAUGAACUGAAUACCGCCCCAGUCUGAUAGCUGUGAAGAAAGGUAUUUUCUGAGUUGUGAGCUCAUCUUGGAUCAAGUAGGAAAUUUUUUAUGCUAAUACUAGCAUAAGCUUUUGUUAAAGAAGCUUAAGCAUUAAUGGCCCAAGUUGUUUGCUAUUUUGCAGGAAAGUUGAAGCAUAUCUUCAUUUUCAAGUCCAGGCUAAAAUAAGGUCUGAGGAAAAGAAUGAGCUGCGUGUGAAGGGAUAGGUAAGCCCUUCAAAUCAUUAGAAUGGGCGGGACAGGGUUGGGAGGAAACUGGUUAACUAGACAGCCUAUAGUCUCUUCUGAUAGUGAAAAAAAAAAGAAAUCAUGAAAGAUCUGUUUGUCCAGGCCAGUGUUUCACCAUAAGAGAUCACUUUAAAUGAGAUGAAGUAAUUCUUUGCAAUUGCAAAUUUACCUUCCUUGCUUACCACAUUGUUAACUGUAGGAGCUGAUAUCUGGUUCUUCCACUGUUAACUUGNN